rnacentral:rRNA from 1 species
CGUAGGUAAUCUAUCCUUAUAUUUGGGAUAACAUCGGGAAACUGGUGCUAAUACCGAAUGGUCUUCAUUGCUUCGGGGCGAUGGAGUAAAGGUGGCCUCUUCAUGAAAGCUACCGUGUAGGGAUGAGCCUGCGUACCAUUAGCUAGUAGGUGGGGUAAUGGCCCACCUAGGCUACGAUGGUUAGCGGGUCUGAGAGGAUGAUCCGCCACACUGGAACUGGAACACGGACCAG